rnacentral:rRNA from 1 species
AUGAACGCUGGCGGCGUGCCUAAUACAUGCAAGUCGAGCGAACAGACGAGGAGCUUGCUCCUCUGACGUUAGCGGCGGACGGGUGAGUAACACGUGGAUAACCUACCUAUAAGACUGGGAUAACUUCGGGAAACCGGAGCUAAUACCGGAUAAUAUAUUGAACCGCAUGGUUCAAUAGUGAAAGACGGUUUUGCUGUCACUUAUAGAUGGAUCCGCGCCGCAUUAGCUAGUUGGUAAGGUAACGGCUUACCAAGGCAACGAUGCGUAGCCGACCUGAGAGGGUGGAUCGCCCACCCGGGACCUGAGCCCCGUCCCGACCCCCUAGGGAAGCCAGAGGAGGGGAACCUUCGGAAAUGGGCGAAAGCUUGCCGAAGCAACGCGGGGGGAGUGAGGAAGGUCUCCGGUCGGUAAAACCCUGUUAUAGGGAAAAACCAAAUGUGUAAGUAACUAUGCCGGUUUGACGGGAACCUAACAAGAAACCCCCGCCAACUACGUG